UACGUAGGGGGCAAGCGUUGUCCGGAUUUACUGGGCGUAAAGAGCGCGUAGGCGGAAGUUUAAGCGGGGCCUGAAAGCCCCCGGCUCAACCGGGGAAGGUGGCUGCGAACUGGGCUUCUUGAGGGGGGUAGAGGAGAGUGGAAUUCCUGGUGUAGCGGUGAAAUGCGUAGAGAUCAGGAGGAACACCCGUGGCGAAGGCGGCUCUCUGGGCCCGCCCUGACGCUGAGGCGCGAAAGCUAGGGGAGCAAACAGG
rnacentral:rRNA from 1 species